GCUUUCGACAUCUUGUAGAAUCCAUGCCGCAACAAAUUGAGGCUGUUCUGAGGACAAAGAGGGGCGCAACUCAAUAUUAGGAAGGUAUUCCUAAUGUUUUGUACACUCAGCGCACAUAGUGUCCAUCUUGCUCAAUAACAAUGGCAGUAUGACUUAACUGUUUAUAAGCAGACAACUCACUGCUCAGAAGUGAAUUUCCCAGACUACAAGGCUAUUCUGUUGAGUUGAUUGAGAGAUAAUCUAAGCCCAUGGGGAGUGUUGGCUUGUAAGAGAUCAUUAAUUUCUCUGCUCCUGUACAUGUGGCGGUCUGUAGAGGAGAGAAGAGCUGCAGGACACAGCCAGACCAGUGUCAUGGUUGUCAUCAGGAGGAACCCAUGAUAGAUCCUCUCUCCUCCCACUCAGCUAUUCCUCAUUGAGGACGUUGUCCUCGUUCCACCCUAUCAAAUCAGCCAACCAGAGAGCAGCUGCAUAUGCCAUGCUGACCUUGCUGGUCAUCCAGAUUGACAUCUAAUGAACUCUGACGCCUUUUAUUGCAGUACUUUUACAGCUUUAUCGAUUUGCUGAAAAGGAGACACAGACAGACAAGGUAGCAUCAAGACUUGACAUUCUAAAGAGCUACAAUGACUCAAACAGCAAUGGUUAGUGAAGUUUGGGGACUGGCACAUUGUAAUUGCUGAGUUGGUCUUGAAAGGGGAAGACCGUAGACCCAUAGUUACCUGUAUAAAGCCCUUGUCACAGUUAAGCAAAAGACAUGCAAAUACAACGCUCCAGCACCAAACCAGCCUAGCAGCCCUCUCCCCCUAAACUCUGUGUCAGCCAAAGGCAUCCCAAAUCCCUCUGUGAUUACCCCGUGGGUCAAGUGUCAGCCUGGGAGACGAGGCAAGGGGAGCCCUCCCCGAAAAACUAAACACAUGACACACAUUCUCGACGCCAAACAUCCCACACAGACAGACAAGACAGCCCAGAGCAGAGCAACAUACAGAGACAGCUGUCCUCUCACACUGUGUCUAAUGCACAAAGACAGUGGAUAAUGAACCGAUUAGAUGCACCAAGAUAUCCAUCCGUCUCUGAAGGGGAGUUAGAGCGUUAAGACGAUGGUGAACCCACGGUGCACCGGGCCGGCGGUGUGACCCUACGUCUGGGGAGAUGGGUCAGUGGAGAGUCACUCCACUUGGAUUACUUCACUAGAAUAUCAAACGGAGCAGUAGAACUUGCUUUGUCUGUAGGACCUUUGACCACAAUAGGAGUAUGACUUUAAUGGGAACAGGCUUCCUAAGGAAAAACUGUAUUUUACACACACACACACACACACGAUGAGUAAAAGACUGUCAGCUGAAUAGGAAUAGGUUCCUGUAGAACAGUGUUCAAGCGGACACGCCCCACACAGACAUUUGAUGGUGUGUCAAUACACACACAAAACAAGCUCUGCAUUUAACACCAUAGCACCCUCCAAGCUCAUCAUCAAGCUCGAGAUCCUGGGUCUCGACCCCGCCCUGUGCAACUGGGUACUGGACUUCCUGACGGG
ensembl:lncRNA